GAUGAACGCUAGCGGCAGGCUUAACACAUGCAAGUCGAGGGGUAGAGGCUUUCGGGCCUUGAGACCGGCGCACGGGUGCGUAACGCGUAUGCAAUCUGCCUUUCACAGAGGGAUAGCCCAGCGAAGUUUGGAUUAAUACUUCAUAGCAUUGGAGAAGGGCAUCCUUUGCCAAUUAAAGGCACAACGGUGAAAGAUGAGCAUGCGUCCCAUUAGCUAGGUGGUAAGGUAACGGCUUACCAACGCUACGAUGGGGAGGGGUCCUGAGAGGGAGAUCCCCCACACUGGUACUGAGACACGGACCAGACUCCUACGGGAGGCAGCAGUGAGGAAUAUUGGUCAAUGGGCGCAAGCCUGAACCAGCCAUGCCGCGUGCAGGAUGACGGUCCUAUGGAUUGUAAACUGCUUUUGUACGGGAAGAAACACUGAUUCGUGAAUCAGCUUGACGGUACCGUAAGAAUAAGGAUCGGCCAACUCCGUGCCAGCAGCCGCAGUAA
rnacentral:rRNA from 1 species